rnacentral:tRNA from 1 species
UCCGAUAUGGUGUAGUGGCUAACAUCGCUCGCUCUCAAUAAUGAACCGAGCAGCCCUGGGUUCGAUUCCCAGUAUCGGAG